GAUCAUGGCUCAGGAUGAACGCUAGCUACAGGCUUAACACAUGCAAGUCGAGGGGGAAACGACAUCGAAAGCUUGCUUUUGGUGGGCGUCGACCGGCGCACGGGUGAGUAACGCGUAUCCAACCUGCCCACCACUUGGGGAUAACCUUGCGAAAGUAAGACUAAUACCCAAUGAUAUCCCACGAAGGCAUCCGAAUGGGAUUAAAGAUUUAUCGGUGAUGGAUGGGGAUGCGUCUGAUUAGCUUGUUGGCGGGUAACGGCCACCAAGCCCGCGAUCAGUAGGGGUUCUGAGAGGAAGGUCCCCCACAUUGGAACUGAGACACGGUCCAAACUCCUACGGGAGGCAGCAGUGAGGAAUAUUGGUCAAUGGGCGAGAGCCUGAACCAGCCAAGUAGCGUGCAGGAUGACGGCCCUAUGGGUUGUAAACUGCUUUUAUAAGGGAAUAAAGUGAGCCUCGUGAGGCUUUUUGCAUGUACCUUAUGAAUAAGGACCGGCUAAUUCCGUG
rnacentral:rRNA from 1 species